rnacentral:rRNA from 1 species
AGAGUUUGAUCCUGGCUCAGGACGAACGCUGGCGGCGUGCUUAACACAUGCAAGUCGAGCGGAAAGGCCCUUCGGGGUACUCGAGCGGCGAACGGGUGAGUAACACGUGAGUAACCUGCCCUGGACUUUGGGAUAACCCUCGGAAACGGGGGCUAAUACCGGAUACGACACACUGACGCAUGUUGUGUGUGUGGAAAGUUUUUCGGUCUGGGAUGGGCUCGCGGCCUAUCAGCUUGUUGGUGGGGUGAUGGCCUACCAAGGCGACGACGGGUAGCCGGCCUGAGAGGGCGACCGGCCACACUGGGACUGAGACACGGCCCAGACUCCUACGGGAGGCAGCAGUGGGGAAUAUUGCACAAUGGGCGGAAGCCUGAUGCAGCGACGCCGCGUGAGGGAUGACGGCCUUCGGGUUGUAAACCUCUUUCAGCAGGGACGAAGCGCAAGUGACGGUACCUGCAGAAGAAGCGCCGGCCAACUACGUGCCAGCAGCCGCGGUAAGACGUAGGGCGCGAGCGUUGUCCGGAUUUAUUGGGCGUAAAGAGCUCGUAGGCGGCUUGUCGCGUCGACCGUGAAAACUUGGGGCUCAACCCCAAGCCUGCGGUCGAUACGGGCAGGCUCGAGUUCGGUAGGGGAGACUGGAAUUCCUGGUGUAGCGGUGAAAUGCGCAGAUAUCAGGAGGAACACCGGUGGCGAAGGCGGGUCUCUGGGCCGAUACUGACGCUGAGGAGCGAAAGCGUGGGGAGCGAACAGGAUUAGAUACCCUAGUAGUCC